GGAAUAUUGCACAAUGGGGGAAACCCUGAUGCAGCCAUGCCGCGUGUGUGAAGAAGGCCUUCGGGUUGUAGAGCACUUUCAGUAGGGAGGAAGGCUUGUAGGUUAAUACCCUGCAAGAUUGACGUUACCUACAGAAGAACCAACGGCUAACUCCGUUCCAGCAGCCGCGGUAAUACGGAGGGUGCGAGCGUUAAUCGGAAUUACUGGGCGUAAAGCGCGCGUAGGCGGUUAGUUAAGCUGGAUGUGAAAGCCCUGGGCUCAACCUGGGAACUGCAUUCAGAACUGGCUGGCUAGAGUACGAGAGAGGGUAGUGGAAUUUCCUGUGUAGCGGUGAAACGCGUAGAUAUAGGAAGGAACAUCAGUGGCGAAGGCGACUGCCUGGCUCGAUACUGACGCUGAGGUGCGAAAGCGUGGGGAGCAAAC
rnacentral:rRNA from 1 species